AGACUCCCUCCUCCGCUUCCCCGCACUGGAGACGCAGCCUCCUCUCCCCUCCUCUGCCUCUCUUGGCUGUUUCCUCAAAGUUUUUCCCUUUCAGACACUUAGGAAAGAAACUCUCCCUUCUGUUCUUAGGCUGCGUUUCAGUGAUAAAUUAGUCCCCGCGGACCCAGAGAGAACAGCAGAGGCAGAAACGAAAGAGAUGGAAACGAGCUGCAGUCCCUGAGUCCCCGAGACCAUCUUGAAUGCUGAGCAGGAACCAGCCAGGCUCAGCCCUGGCCCCUCGCCCCUUUCUCUGACUUUCUCAC
rnacentral:lncRNA from 1 species